rnacentral:rRNA from 1 species
AACGAACGCUGGCGGCAUGCCUAACACAUGCAAGUCGAACGAGACCUUCGGGUCUAGUGGCGCACGGGUGCGUAACGCGUGGGAACCUGCCCUUAGGUUCGGAAUAACUCCCCGAAAGGGGUGCUAAUACCGGAUAAUGUCUUCGGACCAAAGAUUUAUCGCCUUUGGAUGGGCCCGCGUUGGGUUAGCUAGUUGGUAGGGUAAAAGCCUACCAAGGCGACGAUCCAUAGCUGGUCUGAGAGGAUGAUCAGCCACACUGGGACUGAGACACGGCCCAGACGACGAGGGGAGGUACGGGGGAGAAAUGUAGGAAAGUGGGCGACAGCCAGUGCCAUAGAGACGGGGUGAGUGAUGAAGGGCGAAGGUUUUAAACGUUCUUUGACCAGGGAUAAGAAUGCAAGUAGGGGGAGAAUAGGCUCCGCCGAACUCGGCGCAAACAGCGGUGGUAAGAAUAGGAAGAGAACACGCCUCAAC